rnacentral:lncRNA from 1 species
GAAUUGGAGAAAAAAUUGAAAGUGAAUAAAAUAACUUUAGAGUCAGAGUAUGAGGUUGGUAUUGGCUAUGAGCUUGCUGGAUGCUACCUUUAUUAUGCUGAGGCACUUCUGACUAUGAACUUGCCUUUUGGAACUGCCUUUAUUGUUUCCCACAGUUUAGGUAUGCCAUAUUUUCAUUUUCUUUUCUUUUUUUUUUAAGAUUUAUUUAUUUAUUAUAUGUAAGUACACUGAAGACACUCCAGAAGAGGGCGCCAGAUCUCGUUACGGAUGGUUGUGAGCCACCAUGUGGUUGCUGGGAUUUGAACUCCAGACCUUCAGAAGAGCAGUCGGGUGCUCUUACACACCGAGCCAUCUCACCAGCUCCCUAUAUUUUCAUUUUCACUAAAUAAUAAAAGUUUUAAAAUG